AUACGGAGGAUCCGAGCGUUAUCCGGAUUUAUUGGGUUUAAAGGGUGCGCAGGCGGGAGAUUAAGUCGGCGGUGAAAUUUUGCAGCUCAACUGUAAAAGUGCCUUCGAAACUGGUUUCCUUGAGUGUAGAUGAAGUAGGCGGAAUUUUUGGUGUAGCGGUGAAAUGCAUAGAUAUCACGAGGAACUCCGAUUGCGCAGGCAGCUUACUAAGCCAUAACUGACGCUCAUGCACGAAGGCGUGGGGAUCAAACAGGAUUAGAUACCCUGGUAGUCCACGCAGUAAACGAUGAUUACUCGCUGUUUGCGAUACAAUGUAAGCGGCUAAGCGAAAGCAUUAAGUAAUCCACCUGGGGAGUACGUUCGCAAGAAUGAAACUCAAAGGAAUUGGCGGGG
rnacentral:rRNA from 1 species